CUACGGGCGGCUCCAGUCGAGAAUCUUCCGCAAUGCGCGAAAGCGUGACGGAGCAAUGCCGCGUGGUCGAUGAAGGCCUUAGGGUUGUAAAGACCUGUCACAUGGGACGAAUUUUGACGGUACCAUGAGAGGAAGCCACGGCUAACUACGUGCCAGCAGCCGCGGUAAUACGUAGGUGGCGAGCGUUGUUCGGAUUUAUUGGGCGUAAAGGGUCCGCAGGGGGUUUGCUAAGUCUGAUGUGAACUCCCAAGGCUCAACCUUGGAACUGCAUUGGAAACUGGUGAACUAGAGUAUCGGAGAGGUAAAUGGAAUUCCUGGUGUAGCGGUGGAAUGCGUAGAUAUCAGGAAGAACACCGAGAGCGAAGGCAAUUUACUGGACGAUCACUGACCCUCAGGGACGAAAGCGUGGGGAGCGAACAGGAUUAGAUACCCCGGUAGUC
rnacentral:rRNA from 1 species